UCCUACGGGAGGCAGCAGUCGAGAGGCUUCGGCAAUGGGGGAAACCCUGACCGAGCGACGCCGCGUGGACGAUGAAGUAUUUCGGUACGUAAAGUCCUGUCAUGUGGGAUGAAACGACGAUUGGUUAAUAGCCCUUCGUUUUGACAGUACCACAAGAGGAAGCUCCGGCUAACUCCGUGCCAGCAGCCGCGGUAAUACGGGGGGAGCAAGCGUUAUUCGGAUUCAUUGGGCGUAAAGAGUUCGUAGGCGGUCUGACAAGUCAGGGGUGAAAUCCAACAGCUUAACUGUUGACCUGCCUUUGAAACUGUCAGACUUGAGUACUGGAGAGGAAAGCGGAAUUCUUGGUGUAGCGGUGAAAUGCGUGCAUAUCAAGAGGAACACCCGUGGCGAAGGCGGCUUUCUGGCCAGAUACUGACGCUGAGGAACGAAAGCUAGGGGAGCAAACGGGAUUAGAUACCCCGGUAGUCCUAGCCGUAAACGAUGGGCACUAGGUGUAGAGGGUAUCGACCCCCUCUGUGCCGCAGCUAACGCAUUAAGUGCCCCGCCUGGGGAGUACGAUCGCAAGAUUGAAACUCAAAGGAAUU
rnacentral:rRNA from 1 species